UACGGAGGGUGCAAGCGUUACCCGGAAUUACUGGGCGUAAAGCGCACGUAGGCGGCUUUGUAAGUUAGAGGUGAAAGCCCGGGGCUCAACUCCGGAAUUGCCUUUAAGACUGCAUCGCUAGAAUUGUGGAGAGGUGAGUGGAACUGCGAGUGUAGAGGUGAAAUUCGUAGAUAUUCGCAAGAACACCAGUGGCAAAGGCGGCUCACUGGCCCGGUACUGACGCUGAGGUGCGAAAGCGUGGGGAGCAAACAGG
rnacentral:rRNA from 1 species